GUAGUCGUGGCCGAGUGGUUAAGGCGAUGGGUUUGAAAUCCGUUGGGGUUUCCCCACACAGGUUCGAAUCCUGCCGGCUUCG